CUCGGUUCUUGGGCCAGGAAUACGGUAGAACCUUACAUAACCCUGCUGUGGAGCCCUUGGAAGGGAACACUGGCCUCCUGUGAAAAUCUGCUGAGGAGAGAUCUACGUGGUGAGUGAAUACCAAGUUUAUGGCUCCAACCUAGAUCCUUCGCUGAGCACCAGACACGCAAUGAUUACAAAUCCUGAAAAUGGAUCCGAAGGUUGUCCCAAGCUGACUUCCCUGCCACUUGUCG